GACGAACGCUGGCGGCGUGCUUAACACAUGCCAGUCGAACGGAAAGGCCCUGCUUUUGUGGGGUGCUCGAGUGGCGAACGGGUGAGUAACACGUGAGUAACCUGCCCUUGACUUUGGGAUAACUUCAGGAAACUGGGGCUAAUACCGGAUAGGAGCUCCUGCUGCAUGGUGGGGGUUGGAAAGUUUCGGCGGUUGGGGAUGGACUCGCGGCUUAUCAGCUUGUUGGUGGGGUAGUGGCUUACCAAGGCUUUGACGGGUAGCCGGCCUGAGAGGGUGACCGGCCACAUUGGGACUGGGAUAAGGCCCAGACUCCUACGGGAGGCAGCAGUGGGGAAUAUUGCACAAUGGGCGGAAGCCUGAUGCAGCAACGCCGCGUGCGGGAUGACGGCCUUCGGGUUGUAAACCGCUUUCGCCUGUGACGAAGCGUGAGUGACGGUAAUGGGUAAAGAAGCACCGGCUAACUACGUG
rnacentral:rRNA from 1 species